CAGUAGCCGCGGUAAUACGGAGGGAGCUAGCGUUAUUCGGAAUUACUGGGCGUAAAGCGCACGUAGGCGGCUUUGUAAGUUAGAGGUGAAAGCCUGGAGCUCAACUCCAGAAUUGCCUUUAAGACUGCAUCGCUUGAAUCCAGGAGAGGUGAGUGGAAUUCCGAGUGUAGAGGUGAAAUUCGUAGAUAUUCGGAAGAACACCAGUGGCGAAGGCGGCUCACUGGACUGGUAUUGACGCUGAGGUGCGAAAGCGUGGGGAGCAAACAGGGUUAGAUACCCCAGUAGUCCCUGUCUCUUAUAC
rnacentral:rRNA from 1 species